AGAUGGGGCGAGGAAGGGCAGGUAGGAAGGGGCGGAGUUAAUGCAGAGAGUGGGUUGGGAGUAAUUUAUUCCUACAAAGGUCUCAUCCUCUCCCUCGAGGGAAACCUACUUACCGUUAUUUACCCUUUCACCAUUUAAUAUGGAGCAGAUGUUUCUUGAGUACCUAGUGCCAGGUAUGUAGUUCAGUGGGUUCCACAGAGGACCAAGCCGAGUGAUCCUUCAUUAAUUUUUAUAGAAUUUUGUACAGGAGACCUGUGAAGUUCUAGUGUGGCAGUCUACAGACAUUUUUUGAGUGCCUGUGGUGCUGGUCCAGACGCUGUUGAGUAUUGAACCCUCAGAAGCCCACCGUCUGAGCUUAUAGCCUGAGGGAGGAGUGGAGAUAAUUGGGAAAGAAACCAUAAUACAAGGCAGAACAUGAUUUGACAGGAAAGCUUAAGUGUGUGAUAGUGUAAAGUGAUGAGGGGGAUCAAAAUGGCAUUUGAAAUGUAUUUUGGAGAAUGGACAUAAAGUCUGAGAUUGGCCUGGUAAAGAGGUCAUCUCAGAAGAAAGGAACAGCAUGCAAAGCAGGGAGGCUGGGGUGUUCUGGGGCUUGUGUAGGAAAUAGUGUGGCUGGAGUAUCCCCGACACACAUUUAUGACUGUCCCCUUCCCUGCUGUUAACUGCUGAGUACCACCAUCCUCAAGGGGCUCACAGUUUGCUCUACAAGGAGGGAGCCCUCACACUGCCACAGACGUGGAAAAGCCCUCAGUGAAAGAGCAAGGACAAGCAUGGUUCAGAGGGAAGGAGUGGCUUAUGACAAGGGGGAAGAGACGAAAGAAUGGCAAGUGCACGUGUGUUUCCGUGUGGCUGGGAGUGCAGAGGGGAGCAGAAACUAGAUUUGGCCUUAAAAGCAGUGCUACAAGUUUGAAAUGUAUCCUGUAGGAUGGUUUUUGAUGAAGCAGGUCAUGCGACCUCUUUGUGUUUUGGGACGGCAUCCCUGAGGAUGGAUAUAUCCAAAGGGAGACACAGGAAAAAUGCAGUGCCAGUACUUCCGGCAAAAGGUAGUUAGGGUCUGAAUUCAGGCAGUGGCAGUGGAAAAAGUGAGACUAGGAUCAGUUUGAAAGAUAUUGCUUAAAGAAGCUAAUGUGACAGGGUUUGGUGGAUGAUGAUUGUGGGAGUGAGGGAGAAGGAGUGGGUGUAAAAUGUGUAAUGGCUUAAGGCUUUAGUCCACACUGCUAUGAAGAUGUGCAGAGAAAAUGUGAAGAUUUUGUCUACAACCAAUCCAGGGUUCUCGAAGCCUCCACCUGCUGGUCAGGGGGCCUCCCUCCUCCUGGCUUCUCUGCAGAGGACCAAGUUCACUGUGGCUGAGCUCCCUCCCACCAUGCAAGUCAGGCCCAGAACUCCCUCCUGCCUUCAUUGACUCUUCAUUCAUCUGAUGCCCUCAGGACACACGUGUUGAGCCAUUCAUUUUGGUGGCCCCAUUCUCUUGCUCUUCCUCUUUCUUCCCAUCAUUCCCACAGUCCAAAAGGGUGGGCUCUUAUAUUAUUCUUUUUCCUCCAACCUCAUAUUACACCUUUGAUAUGCUAAAUAGCAUUAAAGAAACUUGGAGGAUCUCUCAAAACAACAGCUUGGCUUCUCCAGACAGAAGCUGCCAAGUCUGCAUUUUUCUUUAACGAAUUCUAAGCUCUCCUGGCAAUAGAUGCCUCCCAGGCUAGGCUGUGGCCCGAAAGGCAGAAGAGUAACACACAGCAGUAAUUUUUAAGACCUCCUGUUGGGCAUCUCCCACAUUUCUGACUUGGGUUGCAGAUGGUAUUGAAGCAAAAUGGAGAAACUGAAUGAGGAGAGUUUUUUGGAGGGACGUAAAUUCAGUGCUAGACCUGUUGAGUUUUCUGUGCCUAAGAGGAGCACAGGUGUAAAUGUCCAACUUGACGUGAAAGUGUGGUCUCAGAAGAGAGAUUGGGGCUGAAGCACAGAUCAGGAGUUGUCAGCCCUGGAACUCUUCAUAGUAAGUUAAAUUGAGUUGCUCCUACUACCUUCCUGUGUCUCCUAGGAAAGAUCCAAGAGCAGCAGGGAGGAGGGAAUGGCUAAGGGAGGUCAUGGAAAAGAACAACACACGGCAUAGAGCGGCCCUGGUCUAGGCUGCUCAGGUCUGCCCAUGGCGCCUUGGGGCUACAUGGAGCCGGGGAGCGGGAGCUCCCUCUGUAUCGGGGCUGAUGGUGGUUUCAUCUGCACUACUUUUCUUAUUAUUUAGCAACACUGAUGAAAUUGCUCCCCCUGUGAACAAUGGAGGCUUACACUCUCUGAACGAAGGAUGGUCUUCUAGGGAUGGGCACUGGGCCAGGACUCCAGAUUCCUGGGUGCUAAAGCAGGCCCUGCCUUCUCCCGCCAGGAGACAGCCUCUCUGCUCUCCUGACCUCUGACCACUUCUCACUGCCUCCCGAGUCAUUGGAAGACUGGAAAAAGCAUUGCACGUAGAAGCUCAAAACCUCUCCUAAACGUGGUGUGUAGAAGGACAGGACUGGUUUCUUACUGGUGUCACCGUGGGACCUGUGUGGCCUGGGGGGAAGAGUGUGCUCACCUGUGCAACUGUAAGUGUGGAAUUAGAAGUAGUAUGUAAGGCUAAAAACAGAGAACUCCUAAGGAAGAUGGUUGGGGAAACAGACUGCCAGUCAGAAAUACUGAAAGGCACAGAAAGGACUACUUAGGUGGAUAAGAUAGGAUUUAAAAUAGAAAUUUGGAUUAUAAUGUGGCUUUUCAAACUUUCGAGGGAGAGAUGGAUCAUUCAAUAAAUGGUGUUGGGACAACUGAGUAACCAGCUGGAUAUACAAAUAAAUUCCAAAUGACUGAAAGAUUGAAAUGUAAAAAUAAAACCACAAACACAUAAAAAACACAGUCAAUUAUAUUUACAGGCUUGGAGUGGAGAGGCCUAUUUAAUAGGUUACAGACCCCCAAAGCCAUAACAGACGAGACUGAUAAAUUCAGCUGCACAAUUAUAUGCCAUUUCUUCUUGGCAAAAUAAACGGUAAAAUACAAUUAGAGACAUACAAGGACAAACUGGGAGAAAAUACUUGCAACCCAUGUCACAAAGGGCUCAUUUCCUAAAGAGCUCCUACAAACUGAUUUUAAAAAGAUGUAAUAAAGGGAGAAACAAAGGUUGUGGGUAGUUCCUGGGGCAGGAGGGUCAAAUGAGUCAGUUAUGUGAAAUGCAAAGAGGUGCCUAGCGUUAGGCAUCCUAAGGUGAAAUGCAUAUUAAAAUGAUGCUGAGAAACCUUUCUUUAUUUUGGGGGCACCCGCCAGGCUCUAUUGGCAAGGGGAUGAGGAAAAAGGCAUUCUCAUACAGCAGAGGGUAUGAAUCCACACAACCAGAUAUUAGCUGUCCACAUUUUAAAUGUACACGCUCUUUGAUCCAGCAAUUCCAGGUACUGGUUUGGAAGAGGAAUGGGGCAGCUGUCAACCUGCCUAAGAAGACCAGUCCAUCACCAACAUCGAGGGCAACAAGAAUUUCCUACGACCCCGCCAGGUACCCGAAGUACCUGCCCGAGGCCUACUGCCUGUGCAGAGGCUGCCUGACCGGGCUGUUCGGGGAAGAGGAUCUGCGUUUCCGGAGCGCCCCGGUGUACAUGCCCACCGUCAUCCUGCGGCGGACGUCGGCCUGCGCGGGCGGCCGCUCGGUGUACGCGGAGGAGUACGUCACCGUGCCGGUGGGCUGCACCUGCGUCCCCGAGCCCGAGAAGGAGGCAGACAGCCUCAACUCCAGCAUGGACAAGCCGGGCACCAAGCUCCUGCUCAGCCCCGGCGACAAGCCGGGCCGGCCCUGAGCCCUGCGAGGCCCCUGUCCCUGGAGCGCUCGGGCUGGUUCGGCGAAAACGAAGACGCGAACCAGUACAUGAAAACAGCUGAGCUGGAGAGCUCUUCCGACCGAGCCUGCUUGGCGGCUUACUCUCACACAGCACCAUCCCCUGGUUUUCUUUUAGGCACAAGCACAGGGUCGGUGAAGGCUGCCGGGAGGUUGCCCGGGUACAUGGCAGCGGGCAGGGAGUGUAGGGUCAGGGCCCACCGAGGGUGGCUGGAGCCUCGCACGCGAAGAAGUGGCUCCGUGCUCUUCCCUGCGUGGUCCUCCCUCUGUAGUCCUCCCUCCGUAGUCCUCCCUCCAUAGGCCUCCGGGCUCAGACCCUUCCCCCACCCCCCAGCUGCAGUGCCGCGUGCUGUUAGGAUGCUCUGAGAAGAGCGAGCCUCCCCCAAGAUAGGUGGUAGAUAGGUGCUUCUAAAAGAAAUGUUAUUUUAAAAAAAAGAAUAUAUACCUACUUUUUUGUUCAAUGUUUUCAAUGAGGCAGAAACUAUAUUAGGAAUUUUGAGUAUAUUAAAAUUUUUUUACUUGACAUGUAUUUUAUAACCGUUCUGUUUUUACUUCCUCUGGCAAGACUUUUUAGAAGCACAAUUGGAAUCCUCAGAUAAACUUUUUAGCUGGCACUGGGGCCCAAGUCCCUGAAUUCUGCCUGUCCCGUCCCCAGUUGCUGACCAUAACCAGAUGGACAGGGCUGAAUGUGACCUCCAGUGAAGAUCUUCAUAGGCUGCUACGUGAAUACAAGGGAAGCACAGGAGGCAUAGCUCACCCCACACCGGCCAGGGAUUCCAGAAACCUCAAGCAUGGAUUGUUCGUGAGGAUAUAAAUGGCCCCAGAUGUAUACAAUUAAACACUUUUUCACUUUUGAAAGCACCGAGCCCCUGGGAGCCCCCUGUGAGGCAGGCGAGGUCUCGGUCCUCAGCCGAGAGUAGACCCUGCCCUGGCGGUGAGAGCACACUGAGGCGUCGGCGGCCGCUCCGCACGGGAAGUGCUGGCCGAGAACCUGAGCCACACUUCGGUCCCUUGGAAAUGGAUGGUGCCCGUCCCUCAGUCACUGUGAGGCCUGAGCACCACCUGCAAAACACAGCGCCUGCACACAGGAGGCCUGAGGACAUAUUGGCCCCAGUGAUUCGUGAGCUACAUUGAAAAUAAAUAUCAAGCUAUUCUUUCUUCAUAUUAUGUUUAUUGCCUUGGCAAGGCUAGAUCAUUAAGAUGACUUUUUGUAUAAAAGUUUAAAAAAUCUAUCACUAGGCCGCAGCGACCAGAUAGAAUAUGUUGGAGUGAAUGUUAACAGAAAUUAAAAACAUGAAAAAAAAGGUACAUGCUGGAGGGAGAGGGUGGUGAUGCAGUCUGGGGGGAUACUGUUUCAGGGAAUAAUAAGAGUUUUGGGGACAGAGUUUUGUUCCCUCAUUAAAACUACAGGGGUUUUUUGGAGCAGAGAUUGGUGAUUAUUGUGCUCAUCAACCAUCGGGGGAACAUUCUGCCAGCCCAAGCUGAGGAGCAGCCCCUCCCGCGUGGGGCUCGGUCACCCGGUCACCCCGCUCCCUGGUGCUCACAGUGAAGUGAGCGCUGACCUGGCCGCUUCCGACCCAGCUUCCCAGAGCAGCACACUUCGCUAGUGGGAUUUCACGGCUUCCUUCCCCUGUCCCAGUGCCACGGUGCUGAUGUUUCCUUCAAGUAAUCCUCUCGGGAGGGCUACGGAGCAACCCUGGGGAUGGACGUACCUUGCUGGUUACUGAAGCUUUUUUCCAGCUGACAAUAUUUCUACUGUAUGCUUGUUUGAUUAAAAACAAAAUCAUUUGGGGGCGCCUGGGUGGCACAGCGGUUAAGCGUCUGCCUUCGGCUCAGGGCGUGAUCCCGGCGUUAUGGGAUCGAGCCCCACAUCAGGCUCUU